UUGACCAAUACUCUGAGUACAGUACUGUACAGAACUCGUACAGAACUCGUACUGAUACGAACGGGCAUUUGACGGGCAUUUGACGGGCAUUUGACGGAAACUUGGCAGAUACUUGACGGACCCUUGGCAGACACUUGACGGACACUUGACAGUUGACGGACACUUGUACUUCAACUGUAAUGAGUAUGGCAUCUGAACGAGAACAACACCCUAGACUACAUGUACUAAGCUCUCGUUGACCGCCAACAACCCCGCUCAACAGUCAAACCCUCUAUGAAAAGUGGUGAAAGUGGACACGGUCAUAAUUCUCUGGUUGUUCGGAUGACAGUCGUCUGACAACAACUAUUGGAAAGUUUUAAGGGGUCCCAUAGCAGACGACGUGGUUCAGGACCCUGAGAACUCACUAGACGCAUCAAAGAAGCCCCCUUCAUCCACUUCCUCAAUCUCGCCUUCAAUAAGAGGAACACUGGCGAGCUCAUUCAGUUGCAUGACAACUACCUCCUCAGGAGCUUUCCCCUCCUUGUAUUGCCGGACGUGAUCCUCAUCCACGUACGGGUGGGAAGAAAGUCCCUGGAGACGAAGCAGCUCGAUAUCAUGCUUGUCGGAAGAUGUGGCAACCACGCCAGCAAUGAAUUGUCCUGGUGCAGAAGGUGCUGAAGGUCCCUCACUGGAACCAGCUCCCUAGUGAUCAAUAACAUACUCUGGAGCUGAGGGAAAGGCGCGUCCAGGGAAGAAGAACUGAUAGCAGCCGGCUCCAAAGGAAGCAGGGCGGCCUCUCCUAUCGAAGCUUCAUAAAGCUGUUUUUCCGAACGACCACCAAACCAGCCACUCUAUCCUGUCAAUUGGUAGAAUCAUAUGUGUGGAUCUUCACAUCGAUAACGUCCACUACAGGUGUAAAUACAUCAUCAACUUCAUUUGCAACAACAAUUGGUGCUCCCCAAAUGACAUGGAACCCGAGGUUUCCAAACAUUAUUGACUAAUUCGUCAGACUAAAACAAGGGAGCCGUCUUAACAGCAUUAGUCUGAACUCACAGCUAAGAGAGAAGGGUAUUGGUCAAAUCUUGUGCGCUUGUCAAAUGUGGAUGAACCAUUGAUCAGUACUGAAUUGAGGAGUAUGUCUUGUUUUCCAACUUCUCAGCUCCAAGUCAGACUAUGAAGACCUUGGUCCCUAUCAUAAACCCCUAGGUGAUAGAAUGGUCUACAUUAAAGUGGUCUACAAUGUACUGUACUAUUCCGCGAAUUGGAAGGACCAAUAUAUAUCGCUUCUGGAUUGUCUGACAGAUUCUCGACAACCAACAUGACUUUUUACCACAACUAUCCAGUAUAGUACAGAGAAUGUGUUCUGAUGAGAUCGAGUCUGGUGAUGUUUUCCGUGACA
rnacentral:misc_RNA from 1 species